rnacentral:rRNA from 1 species
AUUGAACGCUGGCGGCAUGCCUUACACAUGCAAGUCGAACGGCAGCACGGGAGCAAUCCUGGUGGCGAGUGGCGAACGGGUGAGUAAUAUAUCGGAACGUGCCCAGUGAUGGGGGAUAGCCCGGCGAAAGCCGGAUUAAUACCGCAUACGACCUACGGGUGAAAGCAGGGGAUCGCAAGACCUUGCGUCAUUGGAGCGGCCGAUAUCAGAUUAGCUUGNGGUGGGGUAAAGCCUACCAAGGCGACGAUCUGUAGCUGGUCUGAGAGGACGACCAGCCACACUGGGACUGAGACACGGCCCAGACCCCUACGGGAGGCAGCAGUGGGGAA